UACGUAGGGGGCAAGCGUUGUCCGGAUUUAUUGGGCGUAAAGCGCUCGCAGGUGGUCCGUCGCGUCGUGCGUGAAAGCCCCCCGGCUCAACUGGGGAGGGUCAUUCGAUACUGUCCGACUCGAAGGCAGGAGAGGGAAGCGGAAUUCCUGGUGUAGCGGUGAAAUGCGUAGAUAUCAGGAGGAACACCGGUGGCGAAGGCGGCUUCCUGGACCACAACUGACGCUGAGGCGCGAAAGCUAGGGGAGCAAACAGG
rnacentral:rRNA from 1 species